rnacentral:rRNA from 1 species
CAGCAGCCGCGGUAAUACCAGCACCUCAAGUGGUCAGGAGGAUUAUUGGGCCUAAAGCAUCCGUAGCCUGGUGUAUUAGUUUUCGGUUAAAUCCAUAUGCUCAACAUAUGGGCUGCCGGGAAUACUGUACACCUAGGGAGUGGGAGAGGUAGACGGUACUCGGUAGGAAGGGGUAAAAUCCUUUGAUCUAUCGAUGACCACCUGUGGCGAAGGCGGUCUACCAGAACACGUCCGACGGUGAGGGAUGAAAGCUGGGGGAGCAAACCGGAUUAGAUACCCGGGUAGUCCCAGCUGUAAACAAUGCAAACUCAGUGAUGCACUGGCUUGUGGCCAGUGCAGUGCCGCAGGGAAGCCGUUAAGUUUGCCGCCUGGGAAGUACGUACGCAAGUAUGAAACUUAAAGGAAUUGGCGGGGGAGCACACAAGGGGUGAAGCCUGCGGUUCAAUUGGAGUCAACGCCAGAAAUCUUACCCGGAGAGACAGCAGAGUGAAGGUCAAGCUGAAGACUUUACCAGACAAGCUGAGAGGUGGUGCAUGGCCGUCGCCAGCUCGUGCCGUGAGAUGUCCUGUUAAGUCAGGUAACGAGCGAGAUCCCUACCUCUAGUUGCCACCAUUACUCUCAGGAGUAGUGGGGCGAAUUAGCGGGACCGCCGCAGUUAAUGCGGAGGAAGGAGGGGGCUACGGCAGGUCAGUAUGCCCCGAAACUCUGGGGCCACACGCGGGCUGCAAUGGUAACGACAAUGGGUUUCAAAUCCGAAAGGAGGAGGUAAUCCUCAAACGUUACCACAGUUAUGACUGAGGGCUGCAACUCGCCCUCACGAAUAUGGAAUCCCUAGUAACUGCGUGUCAUUACCGCGCGGUGAAUACGUCCCUGCUCCUUGCACACACCGCCCGU